CAGCCGGAGGGGCUGCACUGCACCGAGCUUGCACAGGGCGAGGCGGGGGCAGGACCUGGGACCCAGCCACCCCGGAGGAAACCGGAGAGGAAGCCAGCUUGGUCUUGCUCUCUGCCUCGUCCCAAUCCCCGGCUCUUACCAAAUGCAGAUCCGUUGGCUGAAUGCCUUUUAGUCUGCAUACAUGCAUCUCAUACCGCACAGCCCAAAUUUCUACAACUUGUCCAGGUGCAGUCUCCUCAGAACUACAAAGCAAGAAAAGAUCACCUUUGGGCUCAGGAACUCACAGUCGUUCUCCCUCUCCUGGAAGGCACAAUGACCAGGACAGUACCGAGCUUUGCAGCCAUAUUGAACUCACCAUCAACUCAGCACAUUCAACUCAAUCAGUCAAAAUCACCUUUUCCUGCUGGUAAAUAACACUGAAAUACAAGGAAGCUGAGCCUUCACAAGGUCGAACAACACAUUUGAUGCCAUGCAGCUGAGAAGUGGUUCAAGCUGGAUUUGAACAGCUGUAGUCAGACUCUGCAGCCUACGCAUGUACCCACUGUGCUAUGCUGUCGCAUUGAAUAAAAUGCAGUGCCCUCAAUACGAAGUCAAUGUGAGCACAUACCAAGAAUCAUAUUGGGAAGGACAAGUCCUCAGUAGGCAAAACACUUUCCAGCAAUGUUAACCUGGAUGUGGAUAGAAAGGAGACUUGGGAAUUUCUCUGACUUAAUUCAUCUCUGGGUCCAUUUGAAGCAGAGCAGAAGACAGGGGAAGAGGUGCUAGGAGUGGUGGGCUCUGAGGUUCAAGCCCCACCAAUGGCCAGGCCUAAUAAAGAUCUAGACCUCCUUGCAGAAUGAGGCUUUCUCCAAAACCCUUCAGCUGUGGUUUGGUGGAACAGGCCUCACUACAUCUAGCUAAUUUUGUUCAUUCAUUCAUUCAUUCACUCAUUUAUUCAACCAGACUUCAUGGACACUUCUCCAUGUCAGGGCCUGGGCGUUGUGUCAGGGUUGCAAGGAUGAGUCAGGGAUUAUCCGUCAUCUCCAGGAAUUCAUGAGCACAUGGGGAAGACAGCUUGGAGAAAAUCACAGUAAUAGGGGAAAAUAAGGGCUGAGAAAAAAGUCCAUGCACUGCAGCGGACAGGACAGCAGGUCAGCUCCUGUGGGUUAAAAGUGGGCUGUGGGCUGGGUGCGGUGGCUCACACCUGUAAUCUCAGCACUUUGGGAGACUGACGUGGGCAGAACACGAGGUCAAGAGAUCGAGAACAUCCUGGCCAACAUGGUGAAACCCCGUCUCUACUAAAAAUACAAAAAUUAGCUGGCCGUGUUGGCAUGCACCUGUAGUCCCAGCUACUAGGGAGACUGAGGCAAGAGAAUGGCUUGAGCCUGUGAGGCGGAGGUUGCAGUGAGCCGAGAUCACGCCACUGCACUCUAGCCUUGUGACAGAGUCUCAAAAAAAAAAAUAAAAACAAAAAAGGUG
rnacentral:lncRNA from 1 species